AUACGGAGGUUGCGAGCGUUAAUCGGAAUUACUGGGCGUAAAGAGCGCGUAGGUGGCUUGGUAAGUCGGAUGUGAAAGCCCCGGGCUUAACCUGGGAAUGGCAUUCGAAACUGCCAGGCUAGAGUAUGGUAGAGGGAAGUGGAAUUCCGGGUGUAGCGGUGAAAUGCGUAGAUAUCCGGAGGAACACCAGUGGCGAAGGCGGCUUCCUGGACCAAUACUGACACUGAGGUGCGAAAGCGUGGGGAGCAAACAGGAUUAGAUACCCCAGUAGUCC
rnacentral:rRNA from 1 species